rnacentral:rRNA from 1 species
CAGCCGCCGCGGGAAUACGGAGGGUGCAAGCGUUAAUCGGAAUUACUGGGCGUAAAGCGCACGCAGGCGGUUUGUUAAGUCAGAUGUGAAAUCCCCGAGCUUAACUUGGGAACUGCAUUUGAAACUGGCAAGCUAGAGUCUUGUAGAGGGGGGUAGAAUUCCAGGUGUAGCGGUGAAAUGCGUAGAGAUCUGGAGGAAUACCGGUGGCGAAGGCGGCCCCCUGGACAAAGACUGACGCUCAGGUGCGAAAGCGUGGGGAGCAAACAGGAUUAGAUACCCGUGUAGUCCCUGUCUCUUAUAA